CGAGGGGGGCAAGUGUUGUUCGGAAUCACUGGGCGUAAAGGGAGCGUAGGCGGAUGCUUAAGUUGGAUGUUUAAAACCGGGGCCCAACCCGGGGCCGGCAUCCAAAACUAGGGCAUCUUGAAUGGAACAGAGGCUAGUGGAAUUGGGGUGGUAGCGGUGGAAUGCGUAGAGAUCCCCAAGAACACCAAUUGCGAAGGCAGCUAGCUGGGUUCACAUUGACGCUGAGGCUCGAAAGCAUGGGGAGCAAACAGGAUUAGAUACCCUGGUAGUCCAUGCCGUAAACGAUGAACACUAGGUUUCGGACUCGUCAACGGUUCGGAGCCGCAGCUAACGCGUUAAGUGUUCCGCCUGGGGAAUACGGUCGCAAGACUG
rnacentral:rRNA from 1 species